rnacentral:tRNA from 2 species
GUCUUUAUAAUUUAAAAAAUAAAAUAUUAAUUUUGUAAAUUAAAAAUAAGUUUGCUUUAAAGACU